rnacentral:rRNA from 1 species
CCUACGGGAGGCAGCAGUGGGGAAUAUUGCACAAUGGGGGAAACCCUGAUGCAGCGACGCCGCGUGAGUGAAGAAGUAUUUCGGUACGUAAAGCUCUAUCAGCAGGGAAGAAAAUGACGGUACCUGACUAAGACGCCCCGGCUAACUACGUGCCAGCAGCCGCGGUAAUACGUAGGGGGCAAGCGUUAUCCGGAUUUACUGGGUGUAAAGGGAGCGUAGACGGCAGCGCAAGUCUGGAGUGAAAUCCCAUGGCUUAACCAUGGAACUGCUUUGGAAACUGUGCAGCUAGAGUGCAGGAGAGGUAAGCGGAAUUCCUAGUGUAGCGGUGAAAUGCGUAGAUAUUAGGAGGAACACCAGUGGCGAAGGCGGCUUACUGGACUGUAACUGACGUUGAGGCUCGAAAGCGUGGGGAGCAAACAGGAUUAGAUACCCCGGUAGUC